rnacentral:rRNA from 1 species
GAUCCUAGCUCAGGAUGAACGCUAGCGGCAGGCUUAACACAUGCAAGUCGAGGGGCAGCGGGGUGUAGCAAUACACUGCCGGCGACCGGCGCACGGGUGCGUAACACGUAUGCAACCUACCCAUAACAGGGGCAUAACACUGAGAAAUUGGUACUAAUUCCCCAUAACAUUCGAAGAGGCAUCUCUUUGGGUUGAAAACUCCGGUGGUUAUGGAUGGGCAUGCGUUGUAUUAGCUAGUUGGUG